UACGGGGGGGGCAAGCGUUGUUCGGAAUUACUGGGCGUAAAGGGCUUGUAGGUGGCCAACUAAGUCAGACGUGAAAUCCCUCGGCUUAACCGGGGAACUGCGUCUGAUACUGGAUGGCUUGAGUGUGGGAGAGGGAUGCGGAAUUCCAGGUGUAGCGGUGAAAUGCGUAGAUAUCUGGAGGAACACCUGCGGCGAAGGCGGGUUGCUGGGCUGACACUGACGCUGAUGCGCGAAAGCCAGGGGAGCGAACGGG
rnacentral:rRNA from 1 species